UACGUAGGGUGCGAGCGUUGUCCGGAAUUACUGGGCGUAAAGAGCUCGUAGGUGGUUUGUCGCGUUGGUCGUGAAAUCUCACGGCUUAACUGUGAGCGUGCGGGCGAUACGGGCAGACUAGAGUACUGCAGGGGAGACUGGAAUUCCUGGUGUAGCGGUGGAAUGCGCAGAUAUCAGGAAGAACACCCGUGGCGAAGGCGGCUCUCUGGGACGGUACUGACGCUGAGACGCGAAAGCGUGGGGAGCGAACAGG
rnacentral:rRNA from 1 species